rnacentral:tRNA from 1 species
UUAAAUUUAAAAGCGUCGGCCUUGUAAGUCGAAGACCGGGGGUGAAAUCCCUCCCCAAAGCA